ACAAAUACUAUUUCGUUAUAUAAUAUAUUUGUUGAAUAAUGAAAGAACUUGUGAGUUUAAACUUACAGACGUUUUAUUAAUUUGUCCGGAGGGUAUUUUGUUUCAUUGUUUUGGCUAAAUCGUGGCCAGGUUUUAUUUAUUCGUUUCUUGUUUAAUAACGGGAAUUAAAUAAUACAAUGUGCUCACAUUUUCACUAAAAUUAAGGAAGGAAUUAAUAAAAAAUAAAAAAAUUAAAUGAUUUCUUAAUUCGGGCAUGUCAUUUGCAGGAGUUGUCUAAUGUAGUUCCUGUUAAAUAAGGACAGAUAACAAAGUACGUCCGUGAAAUGUAGAAACUGUAACGUUUAUUGUAGGAAUUAUUAAAUGUAAAUUUCAAACAUUUGUAUUUGUGACAAAUAUUAAGUAAUGUGACACUGACAUUAGCAUAUCCACAUUGAAUAUGCUUCCACUUUUAAUGCUCCAAUACAAAGUAAACUACCUUUUCUUUAUUUUAUGGUAAUGUAACAUAUUCAAUAAUAUAAAUAAUACUGCACACCUGUUAAAUUUGUAAAUUUAAAAUACAGUGUAGUGUGUAACAGUAAUACGAAAGCACAGGCUCACUGUCAUUUACUAUGCUGCUUGAGUUUGUUCUGAAUAACAAAUGCACUAAAGUACUAAAUUUGCUUAUGUGAAUAUGAAUUAUUUUAACUAGUUUAUCUUAGAUUAUAGACCAACUACAACCAAUUUCGGCAGAGUGCUAUGCAAAACGCGAGGGAAUGUGCUCCAACGCGUUCAUAUUCUUACUUUUCAAAGUCUGUGGUUAAAGCGCCACUUAGCGGUAAAAGGCAGCAAAUACACUUUUUUAAUGUAGAAGUAUUAUUCUGGAUGAGUACCAUCUGUAGAUGCAUUUAGGUAGAUAAAGGGCGCAUUCCCUUCAAAAACAAAUGUAAUCCUCUUCAGCUGCUCAGAUGACGGGAGUAAAUGACUACUGUUUUGUUCAUUAUUACAUCCAACAACAAAACACCUCAAUCGCUUAGGAGUCAUUCUUGUCUACAUCUGCUCCGGCGGUGAAACAACUGAUGACAGCUCACUCAGGGUGGGUCUGAGGUAAGACACCAGUGCAGUCUUUGCUAAAACGCUACUGUCAAUCAACAAUUGUGGGAGGGGCCUCCGUCCAUGUGACGUCACACGGACAGACGGCUCGAUUUGAGAAAGGGGAAAACAUCCCAGACAGCACACGUACGUCUGGCCGACGUCGGCCCAAUAUCGAAACGUCGGCCUCACUACCUGAAACAUCUAAUAAACAUCGGCCAUGCGUAGGCCGAUAUAAUUCGGUCAGUGCUCUGUUUUCCAGCUCAUCAGUCGUCGGCUCUGAGUCGGUUCACGACCGCAGGCCGAUGCCGCGCUUUUCUGUUUGCGGCGAGCCCAGUUAUUCGUCUCUUAGCAACCCACAGAGAGAAGACACUCAUCCCGGCGACAUCUGUGCUUUCAGGCUGCCAGAAAGAAUCCGUCUCUAUACGGUGAGCUAUUGUUGCUGUUGCUUUUUGAACUACAAAUUGAGUUUUAAGUUCAUUAUUGAAUAUUAAUUGAACGAGACUGUAAUUUAUUAAUGUAAUAUUUUAAUCCUGUAUGUUUAUUUGUGUAAAUGCUGUGUACGCGUUGAGCUCUGCGCGAGCGGGGAGCAGAGUUGCCAUGGAAACGGGGCUUUGACACAACUACUGGCGAACAGUAAUCUCCGUCUCUCGCUGCGGUUUUCACUGAUUUCAGGAGGACAGAAAGAAACUCUACAUAACAGAAGGGAAGCUCCAAGAUUUCAACAUUUCUGAAGGGAGCUACUGACUUAGAAAUACAGAUUCUUCAGUGGUGAUGGCCUGCUGCACCCAGCAGAGUUGGAGUGAAGCUACUGUCAGACAGUGGCGUACCGCGGGGUUUCAGUCAGGGCCUUCAAUUCUUCAGUGCUGAUGGCCUGCUGCACCCAGCAGAGUCAGUGUGAACUCCUGUAAGACAACAUCACCAAGAUGCUAUAAACCGCAGGAUUAGAUGCCCAUCCCGAUGUUACUAGAGAUGAAGCCAGCUCCAGUUUGGAUCCAAACUCACUUGUGAAGAUGCCAACGCUCACAAAGACUACAGAUGACGGCAACUGUACAUGGACACACAAAACACUGGACACACAAAACAAAUAUUAUCCUUAUAUUGCCUAUAAGGGUAAGUUUGACGAUUUUCAACCCGCUAUUGUAUUAUUGCAACGUCUGUAAUAUCUGUAAAUGAACAAUAUUUACUCUUUCUCUGAGUUAUGUGGACCCUAUUUGUCCCCUUUUAUUUGUAAGCAGCACUUCGCAAAAUGAUGCAAAAUGAAAUGAGUUUUGACAAAAUGACACAAACACUUUUGCAGCAUCUAAAUGAAAAAAUGCUGUUUUGCUGACAAAUACACUGGGUAUCUUGGAGAAAGAAUAAACAUUGUUCUUUUACAUAUGUUACCAACAUUGUAACAAUACAAAAUGGACUGAAAAUUGUUGAUCUUACCCUUUAAUAAUGUUGAUGUUACGUCCUCUGUCGUGUGUCAUGUGUUCCCACCUCUUGUGUCCUUAUUUGGUCAUGUUCCUGUCCUUGUUGAGUUUGAUUUGUAGUUUAUUCCGUUCAGGUGUGUGUAUUUAUCAGUGAUUGUCUUGUGUGUGUGUAUAUAAGGUCUUGUCUGUUCAAUUAGUGUUUGUCUGGUCUACUCGUUACUUCCCGGUGUUCCUGUGUGUGUCAGCCCUGCCUUGUCUUACCCUGAUGUCACCAUUAAAGACUAUUAUUUUGAAGUUACUCCUCGUCUGUGUGUUCGUCGUUCCUCCCUGCUGUGUGCACCGUGACAGUUGAAGGAUAAUGUUUAACUGAACACAAAAAUAGAGACUUUAAAUAAAAAUAUUUUAGAAUUAUCAUGCUAUUUAAAAUUUUUAACUGCUUAUUUAUUGUUUGCCUGGUUUUUAAUUUGUGUUUAUGCAACUGUUGUAUUAUUGUAACUCAGUUUUUGCCAUGAAGAUAGCCUUCGAUGCUGACAGCACAGAACACAUGACUUGUUUUAUGAACUACUGUCAUAUGGACAUUAUUUUGUUGCCAGAAGAUGGUCUUCCCCAGCGAGUCUCAGUCACCUCUGGCUGAUUAAAGGAUGUUUUUAAAUUGUAACCUUGAAAUAUGCAUAUUCUGUAAACCUACUUUGAAAUAAGUAUUGUGAAAAGUGCUAUACUUAUACAAUAUUUAACCAUGGUUUUACUAUAGUAAAACUGUAGCAAGCAUGAUUAUAGUAACCAUGUGUUUUUUUUAUUUUUGACACUACUGUCUGUCUUGCCAAGGACAAUAUUACCUAUAAAGCCACAUAAGAACAGCUGUGUGUCUCUGAGCAACACAGCAAUGAUUAGUUUCUGAAUGAAGAAACUAAACACACAUGGACAAAAAUGCUGCUGUAUUGUUAAACUAAAUCUAUUAUGCUGUCACAAAUUAAAUGAAAAUUAAAUGCCAGAGUUUUUUGUUCAGUGCAUGUGCUUGCUGACUGAAUUCUGCUCUCUUGUGAAUUCUCUCAUCAUAAACAACAAAGUGCAGAUGUAAGU